GACGAACGCUGGCGGCGUGCUUAACACAUGCAAGUCGAACGAAGAGCGAUGGAAGCUUGCUUCUAUCAAUCUUAGUGGCGAACGGGUGAGUAACGCGUAAUCAACCUGCCCUUCAGAGGGGGACAACAGUUGGAAACGACUGCUAAUACCGCAUACGAUCUAAUCUCGGCAUCGAGGAUAGAUGAAAGGUGGCCUCUACAUGUAAGCUAUCACUGAAGGAGGGGAUUGCGUCUGAUUAGCUAGUUGGAGGGGUAACGGCCCACCAAGGGGAUGAUCAGUAGCCGGUCGGAGAGGAUGGACGGCCACAUUGGGAGUGAGACACGGCCCAGACUCCUACGGGAGGCAGCAGUGGGGAAUCUUCCGCAAUGGACGAAAGUCUGACGGAGCAACGCCGCGGGAGUGAUGACGGCCUUCGGGUUGGAAAGCUCUGUUAAUCGGGACGAAAGGCCUUCUUGCGAAUAGUGAGAAGGAUUGACGGUACCGGAAUAGAAAGCCACGGCUAACUACGUG
rnacentral:rRNA from 1 species